ensembl:lncRNA
CAGACUCCUAAAACUGCCCCAAACAUCUGAAAGAGCUUUCUCAUGCUGGUCAGAGGGCGUGGGUUUCUGGCAACCCGUGUUGCUGCGCCUCUCAUCGCCCAUCACCCUGCACAUCCUUGGCCUCAGCCACCACCACAGACAGAGGAGGUGUGCCUGAGCUCCGACAGCUCAUCUUAACCGUGGCCUGCAGCCACUCAUCCCCGCAGGCACUAUGAACAGCUCAGACAAACUGUGUCCCCAGGAGCACCUCUGUCCUUAAUUUAUUCUGCUGCCCGGUCAGAAGCAGCACAGGGGACGGAUGAUUCCUGCGUUUAGCAGAAGAUGUGCUGCCCAGCAUGGCACACAUGCCAACGAAGGACAGAAAUGCCUCCUGGCCUCUGGUUGCUGGCCGAUGUCCAAGCAGCAUGGUGGCAGAUGGCAACGACCCAGGGCAGAGCGGAGGCAAAGAGCACACAGUUAGCUGGGAACUGGGAUUUGAACUGCUUUGUAUUAAACCGUACUGGUAAACAUUCUUUUAAGUGCUGUUUAAGGACACCGUGACCUCAGUUAUCUUCAUGAACCUUUUCGUUAAUGAAAAUGAGAGCGGAGGAAUUCUCAAUAAGAUGUAAUUAACUGUUCUACAGCGCACUUGUGCUUAUCAAGAGAAACAUCUGCUGAAGGCUAACCUUGGCCACAGCAUCUCCUCUGGCAGUCUGAAGGAGCCCGGCAAGUCUUCAGAGAGGGUGACAGGGACUCGGGACACCGCCUGGGGAGGAGGUGCUGUUAACCCUCUCAGAGCCAGCACCUGUCUGGAGGAGCAAAGCUUGGUGUUAAGACGCAGGGCGAGGAGCGAAGGGGAAGAGCGCACGCCAAGGUCACAUCUGCAGCAGCAGCGACGGCAGCUGCACAGCAGCGAUAUUAAACCUCCCUCUGGUGUAGGAUACACACACAGACACUUCUUAAGAGCAACAACGAUCCACAUGAAUUGGAGCAGUCCCCAGAGGAGAGCUGCGUGGCUGGCGUGGCAGCGGGUGACCGAAGGGCACACAGUGAGGGUGGGAGCGGCGUGCCCGGCUGUAGAUGAGAGAUUCUCAGCUUUAUCACCCCCAAGUUUGGCAGUGAUUUGCAAAUGGGGAGACACUCAGCUCACCGCUUGCAAGGAAGCAGUGUGACCUGUGCCAAGAAGCAACGAGCAUCAGAAGGUGGAUAUUUCAACUGAACCUCCUGGGUGGAACCGGAGAACAGAGGAAAAGGGGAGAGCAAGCGACAGAUGCCCACUGCUGCAAAGUACCGUUCAGCAUCUCCCAAAGGGUGAUCCAUCAGAAGGGACGUGCUGUUAAUCAGCAUGAAACCGACACACGUCACAUCCCCACAGAGCACAACACAGUGCAGAACAGCUCCACAGAGAGAGGGGACCUGGACACGCAGCUCUUCCCUUAGGCCUAUAGGUCCACCUCAGCCUUUCUCUCAUACUUACCCCAUUGGUGCUGAGAUCCAUAAAUGUUUUCUCUUUUGCUCCCUCAUCACCACACAAACGUCCCAUUUUUAAGUGAAAAAAGAUAGAAGCAAUCUUUUAUAUCCUCUAUAGCUGAAGCUGGAGUGCUCCUUUACCAGGAAAUGGUUUCUUGUUAUCAGAAGAUGACAUCAUUAUUUUACAGUAAAAGCCUCAGCCCUAUUUUAUUUUUUUUCAGUCUUCUUUUCUUCCCCCAUCAUCUUGGAAACAGAACUCACCCAGUAGCUUGCAAAGAGCAAUAACUACAGAAAGAUGGUUUGGCUCUGUCUCCUGGAGACAGGCACUACCAACAUAGCAUCACUGACGAAGUUAAGACAAACUUCCUUCCCACAGUCACCUGCAGCUUACAGUGCCAUUCACAGUGGAAGAGCAGCCUGCUUUGAAUGCAGGGGAUUACGUUUCAUCCACACCUUUCUGGCUUCCUCCCCACUAAAGUUAACCAUACUGGCUCUCUUAUGUCACCCACUCUACCUGUAAGAGCAUAUAACACAACUGUCUCAUUGCUGGGCUAAUACAAGAGGGCAAGCUGUGCCUCUCUGGAAAACUCCCAGAGGAAGAGGGAUAAGUUGUCUUUGCACUUCUCUCAAAAUACCCUCCCCUCCUUCAAAGCAAUGUACCCAAGGGUGGGGAAAAGCCCUUAUAUCACUUACAUAAGGUAACAUAAGUGUGAGAAAGUGCUUUAAAUGGCCCUUAUUCCCCAAGAACCAAAGGAUACUGGGGGCCGGGGGGAGGAUGUGACAGCCUGCAACAGACCGUGGGAAUGAGGAAGGCCAUUAGGGACAGAUGUGAACUACUGUAGCAUCACCCCAUGCAAAGAUGCACCAGCCUGCUCAUCUGUGAAGUCACCUUUCAGGACUGCUGUUGUUUUCCUGCUUGGAAAGCAGUCCUCCUGGAGGCCUGAAGGAAGGAGGAGAUCCAGAAGCAGCAGUGGAACCAGACCUGCUAGUUCAGACCUGAGGUGCCACUCCAUCAGCACACUGCACGCUGCUGAGGGCAGUGGUGGCUCCCUGUCCUCUGCUUGUGCAAAGUCC